rnacentral:precursor_RNA from 13 species
CUGCGCAUGAGCUCCCCGUGGUGCCUGAGGAGAGGUUGCCUGUGGCAUGUUCGCAUCCCUUGUGACGCACAAUCACGGUCAACCUCUCUUCAGGGCCAGAUUCUGCCUCGCAUGCCGCC